CUGCACUGGGUGCCUUGGCACAGGCUCUGUGGAACCACAACGUCAGGUUCUUUCCCAGCAAAACCCAAAGCAAAUAGCUUCACAUCUAGGAUGAACUUGACCUUUCAUUCUUAAUAGCUCCAAAGGCAAAAGAUCAGAGAAGAAUAUGUCAAUACUCUUGACUGUAUUGAUGUUUGGUUGUGCACAUGCCUUUCAUUUUAGUUCCUCGCCCUGAAGCUUUCUCAGCUGGGAUGUUUGAACUUUCAAUAAACUCAUGCUCUGGAGAAACAAGUUUGGUUUCCUGGAGGUGAAGAGAGUAAAGGAAUAAAAUAAAAGAAUGCAACCCAGCAAUGCCAUCAGGUAACCCUGAGCAAGGGGCAGGGAGGGCAUCGAUGCAGACUUGCCUGGCCUUCCUUUACCACACAUGCAGCCAGACGGCGCCCCGAGCACUGCUGUGUGCUAUCCCAGUGGGGAACAGUAGUUUAGUAGUUGAAAUUAGGUUCAAAUGGCAGGUUCAUUAAGUAAUCAAUAAUAAAAAA